AAAAAAAAAAAGGAAGGGAAACUUUGGUUACACUUCAUGAGCAUCCAACAGAGCUGAAAGAUCCAGACCCUACCAAGACUCAAGAGGGGAAGAUGUUGAUUAAACAGCCAGCAACAUGGCCAUAGAGACGACUUCAUCUUGCCUAAUGAAAAGAAUCAAGAAACACUUCAAAGGAGUCACUGGGAUGCACAUAAAAUACCCACACUCUUAGGCAGUGCUCUACCAGUGACUGUUAAGUAUAUGAUAUCCUCAGUCAAGCUACGGUAAGCUCAUUCAUUUUCAUAAAGAAUUCUUGCUUGAACUUCCAAACUGUACCCUGCAAUGCAGUGUAAUUUGUGUAGACACAGCAUUCUGCUUCUAGCUACUUAUCAGUCCAUUUUUAUGACACUUUUAACUGCAGGGCGUGGGCUCCCUGAUACAGACCAGACCUUGAAGAACAGCAAUUCCUCGUCAGAGUUUUAGUCCAGCGGCACCAUUCCGUACAAGAGCAGUUAUAUUUUAGGAAACUGGGACAAGAGGUCAAGGCUGGGAGUGCUUCGGGGUGAGUAAAGUAAGGUAGUUUGGAAUUAGGCAAAAUGGCAGGAUUAGGAAGGAUGUGCCAUUAAAUUAUACUGCAAAAAUACAAGCUGGGGUAUUGGAGAGGGGUCAGAUAGUAUGAAGAUUGAGCCAAAGAAAUCCCACACAUAUUAUCUCCUCAGCCAGAGCAUACAUCUCAAAUAAUAGAGACAUGCAUCUCACCUAAAAGCGAGAACGAUAUUCAGUUUUCUCAACGAAUAUGUAUUGAGUGACUUCUACUUAUAAGCACUGCAUGAGGUCCUACUGGGAAAAGAAAGACGAGUAAGAGCAAAAAAAAAAAAAAAUAAGCUCUAUGAGAGGAAGAUAAGUCGGGGCAGUGGGGGUUCAAGGGAGAAACAGACAGAAGAAACACAGAAAGUGGCUCUAUAGAGGAGGGGAGCUUUAGAAGAUGAGAACGAUUUCAAUCUGUGGAGGAUGGGGACUUUCCAGACUGAGACAAUGUUAUCUGCAAAUGAAUGGACGUGGGAGAGGCGGAAGACUUUUCAGAGGUUUUGCAUUCUAGACUGGCUGGAUCAUGGUUUUUGGAGACAGGCCUGGAAAUGGAGUGUGGCACUAGAAGAGAAGAACUUCGUUUCCAGGUCAGCAUCACAAGACGCAUGAAAGAGGACUCAUCGCCAGGGCAUGGAGCUGGUGUUUUGAUCAAAAUGGAAUUUGCUCUCAAAUAGACAUGUAUUCACUAAUCUCCUUUCUUUUAAAUAAGUAAAUAAAACAAACACAAAAUCUCUUCCAGCUCAGCUGACUAAGUCCUAGUGGGGAUGACAGCAACAUUCACUUGCAAGAUCCCACAGAGCUAG
rnacentral:lncRNA from 1 species